CUACAUGGAGGGGGGCGAGGGGUUUUAUUGACGAACCCACCGGCCUACAAUAUGGAUAAAGGGUACAAGAGUGGGACCUGGCUGGCAGCCUCGCCGGCUGGCCAAGGGGGCCACGAGGGUCUCGUCUUGUCGCUUGAGGGGCCCGCCGGUUGCGAGGUCUCGUCUGGAUGUGGGACCCUCCGGCUAGCCAAUGGAGCUCUCGCGUAAGGUUGACGCAGGGCACGCGCGGUACGUCUGGCUCGUCCAGCGAGAUUCGUCAUGGGCAAACGGUACGGCUGCCUCCACUGUUCCCACGCCGAGUGCAGUAAUGGAGUGGGAGUUUGACGGUCGACACUAUGCUGGGUGAUGGAUCAGAGCCGGGGUAGGUCAGCGGCGUGGCCACCGACGCUAGUACCUGCCGUGCACUCUGAUCCAGUACCUUUGCUGACGUGUAGCCACCUUUAACCGUAGGGUCUCGUCAUGACCUACGAUCUGAUGUGACUUGAGAUCCCCAGCCGGCUAGCCUGCUUGGCUAGCCGGCUUGGGGAUGGCCGCCUUGUUCC
rnacentral:lncRNA from 1 species